UGCGGGGGGCGCUGCUUGUUGCCUCCACUCGCCGCGCCGCCGUCGCCCGCGUCAGGCCGGCUCCAUGAGGACGAAGCACGUGAACGUGCUGAUCGCGCUGGCCGCCUUCGUGCUUUUCAGCUUCUCCUGCUUCUGCAUCUCCAGGAUGACUCAAACUAGUAAUCAAUUAAUUAAUUGUAGAAACCAUAUUUUGGAAUUUAAGGAGAAAAUUCUACGUUUAAAAAAUAAAACUGAAAGAAAUCGCCAAGAGCUGAUCAAUGCCUUGAGUAAAAUGAAGUAUGAAAUGACACAGAGAGAAAAUACGUCCACAGACUUAGUUGAGAAGAAAAUGAAUACAUUGGGUAAGGAUGAAACAGUGUCUAAUAAUACAUUUGAAGUCCUAAAGUUCUUUUUCCCUCAUCUAAGGAAAGUGGGCAGAAUUUAUCCUGAUGUAAUCAUUGGCAAAGAGAAAACAGGUGUCUCUUUUGCGCUGGGUAUUUCCACUGUUAGCAGAGGAAAUCAAAGUUACCUGAAGCAAACCCUGAAUUCUGUUGUCUCCAGGAUGACUCUCUCAGAAGAGAAGGACUCUGUGGUGAUUGUCUCGGUGGCAGAUAGAAAUGAAGAUUAUUUAAAAUCUGUUGUGGACAUGAUUACAAAAAGAUUCAAAAGGCAGCUGAAGUCUGGAUCCUUGGAAGUCAUUUCAAUACCUGCCUUUUUUUAUCCAAACAUGUUACAUGUCAAGCAGUCAACUGAGGACUCAGGAAAAUUAGAGAGUUGGCGCAUCAAACAAGUACUGGAUUUUUGUUUUUUGAUGCUUUAUGCGCAACCAAAGGCCAUGUAUUAUUUACAGCUAGAAGAUGAUAUCAUAGCUAAAAAGAUGUACUUUACAAAAAUCACAGAUUUUGUGCAUAAUAUCACUUCAAAUAAUUGGUUUUAUAUUGAGUUUUCAAUUCUUGGAUUCAUAGGAAAGCUAUUUAAAUCUGAGGACUUAACUGACUUUGUGCGUUUUUUUUUAAUGUUCUACAAAGAUAAACCCAUAGAUUUGCUUUUGGGGGACAUUUUUCAGGUAAAGAUGUGUAACCCAGGAGAGACCCCUGAAAAAUGUGCAGAACGAAAUAAGCAAAUUCGUAUUCGAUAUAAACCUUCUCUUUUCCAGCAUGUGGGUAUACAGUCAUCAUUCCCUGGAAGAGAACAAUAUUCCAAAGAUAUUUAUUAUUAGGAGUUUCAUAAUUCGAGUACCUUCUUUAAAAAUGAUCAGCAUCAUUCUUUGGAAAAAAUGACAUAAUGAGGAUUAGUCUUAGUUCUCAACUUUCUUCAAAGUGGCUAAGAGACUAUCUCAUAUAAAAAUAUAAGCCUUUGAUAAUAUAGUGAAAAUAUGAAGAUAAUAAGCAUAACAAGAAAAAUUCUGUAAUACAUUGGAACCUCAAAUAAGCCUGAUUUCUCAUGGCAUCUUUCAGAAAUUAUAAUAAUGAAAAUGCAUAAUCGUAUAGAAAAGAAUUCAGAAAUUAACACACUUGUAGGCUUGAAAGUGUUAAGCUCCCUCUUAUGUCAAGGAAAAUUACAGUGUUUAUUUAUGAUGUUUGUACCCUUACUAUUAUAAUUUAAUUAAAAAAAUAGUAAAGGCAGGGAAGUUUUUGAAAAUUAAGAAAUGAAUUUUGUUGACGUAGUUAUGCUAUCACAUAAUCUUAAUAAAUAGCUAAUAGUUCAGAAACUUGUCAUGGAUAGGUUCUGUGUAAAUUGGUAUAUGUUCUUAUCCAUUUUGUUAGGACAUCUAAAGAAAGCACAAUUUAAGCCUGGGUCUGGCAGUGCCACAAUAUCUUCUUGUCUUUUAAAUAAGUGCAUUUAAAACUAUAAACUUACCCCUAAAGUGCUGUUUGAACUGGUUUACCAACCUCUUGAUAUUUAUGUAUUCUGAUAGUCAUUCAGUUCUAAAAGAUUUUGUAAUUUCUCUUAUUAUUACUUUCUUAGCUCAUGGGUUAUUUGGGACUGGUUUUUUUUUUUCAAAUAUGUUGGUUUUUGCCAUCUUUUACUGUUGAUUUCUCAUUUAAUUACAUUGUUCUUAGUGGAUUUUAUCUGUGUGAUGAGAUUUGAGAAUUGUUAAGAAUGCUUAUGUUUCACGUGAAUUUGAAAAGAAUGAAUAGUGUCUGUAGACUCCCUUUAAAAUAUGUUGCAUUCAUUUGUUUCUUAUAAAUGUGUUUUGUGCUUUGAAAACGUCUUCUUAAAUAUUCCCAAUUAUUGGGUGCAGAAUUCUCUUAUAUCAGGCUUUUUAAUUUACUUAUUCAGGUUUUUAAAAUUCUUCCUAAUUUUUGUCUGCUUGAUUAUCAGUUUUUAUAGGAGUCUAUUAAACUCCACUAUUCUUCUUGUUA